UACGUAGGGUGCAGGCGUUAAUCGGAAUUACUGGGCGUAAAGCGUGCGCAGGCGGCUUUGCAAGACAGAUGUGAAAUCCCCGGGCUUAACCUGGGAACUGCAUUUGUGACUGCAUGGCUGGAGUGCGGCAGAGGGGGAUGGAAUUCCGCGUGUAGCAGUGAAAUGCGUAGAUAUGCGGAGGAACACCGAUGGCGAAGGCAAUCCCCUGGACCUGUACUGACGCUCAUGCACGAAAGCGUGGGGAGCAAACAGG
rnacentral:rRNA from 1 species